UACGAGGGGGGCGAGCGUUGUUCGGAAUUAUUGGGCGUAAAGGGUGCGUAGGCGGCCUGACAAGUCUGAUGUGAAAUCCCUGGGCUCAACCCAGGGCCUGCAUCGGAAACUGUCGGGCUUGAGUAUGGGAGAGGUGAGUGGAAUUUCCGGUGUAGCGGUGAAAUGCGUAGAUAUCGGAAGGAACACCGGUGGUGUAGACGGCUUUCUGGACCGUAACUGACGCUGAGACACGAAAGCGUGGGUAGCAAACAGG
rnacentral:rRNA from 1 species